UGUUUGGGGUUUUAGGCUGGGUUUCUGUACAGCACUUUGAGAUAUCAGCUGAUGUACGAAGGGCUAUAGAAAUAAAAUUUGAUUUGAUUUGUUAAUGGAGCCUGCCGAGUGGAGAGAAGAUUACCAAGGACCAGCCCUAGAGGAGGAGCUGGGGAGGUUUUGGAAACCAUCCACAAAGGACAAGCUUGCUGUGCUGGAAACUUCUGUCCCUAUUGGAACAUUGACAUAAAUUAACUUAAAUAUUUGAUAAGAAUUACACCUAAGUGUCCUUGUAGGUUUGAAUAUUAAAUUACUCUUGUUAUAAGCUCUGAACGUUUCUAUGGUAGCUGGACAUUUGAGGGAUUUAUUUUUGUGUGGGUGUACAGUGGCUUGCGAAAGUAUUCACCCCACUUGGCAUUUUUUCUA